rnacentral:rRNA from 1 species
GACGAACGCUGGCGGCGUGCCUAAUACAUGCAAGUAGAACGCUGAAGAGAGGAGCUUGCUCUUCUUGGAUGAGUUGCGAACGGGUGAGUAACGCGUAGGUAACCUGCCUUGUAGCGGGGGAUAACUAUUGGAAACGAUAGCUAAUACCGCAUAACAAUGGAUGACCCAUGUCAUUUAUUUGAAAGGGGCAAAUGCUCCACUACAAGAUGGACCUGCGUUGUAUUAGCUAGUAGGUGAGGUAACGGCUCACCUAGGCGACGAUACAUAGCCGACCUGAGAGGGUGAUCGGCCACACUGGGACUGAGACACGGCCCAGACUCCUACGGGAGGCAGCAGUAGGGAAUCUUCGGCAAUGGGGGCAACCCUGACCGAGCAACGCCGCGUGAGUGAAGAAGGUUUUCGGAUCGUAAAGCUCUGUUGUAAGUCAAGAACGAGUGUGAGAGUGGAAAGUUCACACUGUGACGGUAGCUUACCAGAAAGGGACGGCUAACUACGUGCCAGCAGCCGCGGUAAUACGUAGGUCCCGAGCGUUGUCCGGAUUUAUUGGGCGUAAAGCGAGCGCAGGCGGUUUGAUAAGUCUGAAGUUAAAGGCUGUGGCUCAACCAUAGUUCGCUUUGGAAACUGUCAAACUUGAGUGCAGAAGGGGAGAGUGGAAUUCCAUGUGUAGCGGUGAAAUGCGUAGAUAUAUGGAGGAACACCGGUGGCGAAAGCGGCUCUCUGGUCUGUAACUGACGCUGAGGCUCGAAAGCGUGGGGAGCGAACAGGAUUAGAUACCCUGGUAGUCCACGCCGUAAACGAUGAGUGCUAGGUGUUGGAUCCUUUCCGGGAUUCAGUGCCGCAGCUAACGCAUUAAGCACUCCGCCUGGGGAGUACGACCGCAAGGUUGAAACUCAAAGGAAUUGACGGGGGCCCGCACAAGCGGUGGAGCAUGUGGUUUAAUUCGAAGCAACGCGAAGAACCUUACCAGGUCUUGACAUCCCGAUGCUAUUUCUAGAGAUAGAAAGUUACUUCGGUACAUCGGUGACAGGUGGUGCAUGGUUGUCGUCAGCUCGUGUCGUGAGAUGUUGGGUUAAGUCCCGCAACGAGCGCAACCCCUAUUGUUAGUUGCCAUCAUUCAGUUGGGCACUCUAGCGAGACUGCCGGUAAUAAACCGGAGGAAGGUGGGGAUGACGUCAAAUCAUCAUGCCCCUUAUGACCUGGGCUACACACGUGCUACAAUGGUUGGUACAACGAGUUGCGAGUCGGUGACGGCAAGCUAAUCUCUUAAAGCCAAUCUCAGUUCGGAUCGUAGGCUGCAACUCGCCUACAUGAAGUCGGAAUCGCUAGUAAUCGCGGAUCAGCACGCCGCGGUGAAUACGUUCCCGGGCCU